rnacentral:rRNA from 1 species
UAACACAUGCAAGUCGAACGAAGCUUGAUUUCUGAUUUUUUCGGAAUGACGAAUGAUAUGACUGAGUGGCGGACGGGUGAGUAACGCGUGAGCAACCUGCCCUUCGGAACGGGAUAGUGUCUGGAAACGGACAGUAAUACCGUAUAACAUAUAUUGAUCGCAUGGUCGAUAUAUCAAAACUGAGGUGCCGAAGGAUGGGCUCGCGUCUGAUUAGAUAGUUGGUGGGGUAACGGCCUACCAAGUCGACGAUCAGUAGCCGGACUGAGAGGUUGAACGGCCACAUUGGGACUGAGACACGGCCCAGACUCCUACGGGAGGCAGCAGUGGGGAAUAUUGCACAAUGGGGGAAACCCUGAUGCAGCAACGCCGCGUGAAGGAAGACGGUUUUCGGAUUGUAAACUUCUGUUCUUAGUGAAGAAUAAUGACGGUAGCUAAGGAGCAAGCCACGGCUAACUACGUGCCAGCAGCCGCGGUAAUACGUAGGUGGCAAGCGUCGUCCGGAAUUACUGGGUGUAAAGGGAGCGUAGGCGGGAUGCCAAGUCAGCUGUGAAAACUAUGGGCUUAACUUGUAGACUGCAGUUGAAACUGGUAUUCUUGAGUGAAGUAGAGGUUGG